GGCCCCAUCGUCUAGUGGCCCAGGACGUCAGCCUCUCACGCUGAAAACGCGGGUUCGAGUCCCGCUGGGGUCA
rnacentral:tRNA from 1 species